AGGAAUUUGGCAGGAGAAAUUUCUCAAGAAUAUGCUAAGCGACAGACUAAUGAGGAAGCUAUUGACGAUCUAAUGGAACUUGUACAACAAAUUGUUGCUUUUCACAUGAAACACAAUGCUGAACCUGAAGCUAUUGACUUCUUACUAGAGGUUGAAGACCUUGAUCUGUUAAUCGAACAUGUUGACAAGACAAAUUUUAAAAGAACUUGUCUCUACCUCACCAGUUUAGCACGGUA